UACAGAGGUCUCAAGCGUUGUUCGGAUUCAUUGGGCGUAACGGGUGCGUAGGUGGCGUCGUAAGUGGGGUGUGAAAUCCCGGGGCUUAACCCCGGGACUGCAUUCCAUACUGCGGUGCUUGAGGACUGGAGAGGAGACUGGAAUUUACGGUGUAGCAGUGAAAUGCGUAGAGAUCGUAAGGAAGACCAGUGGCGAAGGCGGGUCUCUGGACAGUUCCUGACACUGAGGCACGAAGGCCAGGGGAGCAAACGGG
rnacentral:rRNA from 1 species